CUUUGCACACUUUUUUUGUUACAAACUAAGGCACAAGCCCACACAUUAGCCUAGGCCUACACAGGGUCAGGAUCAUCAAUAUCACUGUCUUCCACCUGCACAUCCUGUCCCACUGGAAGGUCCUCAGGGGCAAUAAUGCAUGAAUCGGUUAUCUCCUGUGAUAACGAUUCCUUCUUCUGGAAUACCUUUUGAAGGUUCUGCCUAAGGCUGUUUUACAGUUAAUUUUUUUAAUAGGUAGAAAAAGUAUACUCUAAAAUAGUAAUAUAAAGUAUAAUAUAGUAAACACAUAAACCAGUAACAUAAUUGUUUAUCAUUAUCAAAUAUUAUGUACUGUACAUAAUUAUAUCUGCUAUAAAGUCAAACACCAGAUAAUGGCAUUUUGGUCUACAAUGAACCAUGUGUACAAUGACAGUGGUCCCAUAAGAUUAUAAUGGAUCUUAAUCAUUUCUAUUGUCUAUUGAUGUUAUAAUGUCACAACACACUUUAUUUUUUAAAUUAAUUUAGUGUAUCCUAGGUGUACAGUGUUGGUAAAGUGUACAGUAUCAUAAAGUAAUGUCCUAGGCCUUCACAUUUACUCAGCACUCACUCACUGACUCACUUAGAGCAACUUCUAGUCAUUGAAGCUCCAUUCCUGAUAAGUGCCCUAUACAGGUGGACUGUAUUUUUAUACCAUAUUUUUACAUAUAAUUUCUAUGUUUAGAUACACAAAUAUUUAUAAUUAUGUUACAUUUACCUAUAGCAUUCAUUACAGUAAAAUGCUGUACAGGUUUGUAGCCUAGGAGUAACAGGCUAUAUCGUAUAGCUUAGGUGUGUAGUAUACUUUACCAUCGAGACUAAUUUACAAUACUUGAUUUUUGUGUGUCAGAUGGAGACAGAUAGAUAGAUAUAUACACUACUUGAACUUUGGUUUAUAGUGAAUGCUCCACUCAAACUCCCCUUCAGAAAAGGACUUAUUUCCCCAACUACUGGAAGCUUUGCCAGAAGAAAAGCUUAAUUAGUUAGAAACCUACAGGAAUUCAGUUGAAAAGAGCUGCCUCAUUGACCAAGAUCACACCUGCUUCGCAGGUGGUCAGCCAGAAGUGGGUAUAAAAGUCUGUCCCCAUGAACUCAACUCAGGGCAACAUUGAAGGGAUUUUUCUGCUAUACAUCUCCUCAUGGAUGGGCUAAAGAGCUUUCAUUGUGGCUCAAUUUCUCUCAGGACCUAACUUUUUGAUUCCUUUCUUUCUUACUCUGUCCUUCCACGGUCUUUUCUAUUUUAAGCCUUUAACCAUACAGAGAGAGGAAAAAAAAAGGUGAUUAGCUUAAAUUUGAUUUAAAUUAUGGUUUUACUUAGAUACUAAUGAUUACUGAUUCAACUUAAGUGAGAAUUAAAGGGUUUAAACUACUGAAGUGUGCAAUAAUAAUGGAAAGUCUGCUUGAGGAAAAAAAUACAGGUUAUUGUUUUUAUUUCUGCUAUCUUCUGACAUUUUUAGUGGCUUAUGCCAACUGAAUGGCUUUACAAAGUGAAACUAAACAAAUAAAAGUGAAUGGGGAUAUAGAGAGAAAUGCUUAAGUAUCCCUGUCAAAGACAGAAUGAUGAACUAUUAUAAAUAUUUGGCAUGUUCUGUAAAUAUGUGGCACUCAAUCAAAAGCCAUUUAAACCUUGAAAGGACAAGAAACAUAAUGAAACUGAAUGAGACUAUUUCAGUUUUACCUGUUUUCUUAGAAUGCUUUAUUGUGUUGUUUUCUUUUUCAGGUGUCACAUGGUAGUCUCCAGCAGUCCUAGGUUCCCAUUGUCCACAGUGAGAAUCCACUGGUAAAGGAGCAUUCUUCUCUUCAUACAUGCAGUGAAUGUCUAAUUGGUUCUAAUUGGGUCAUAUGCUCACCUCAAAUUAAUCAGUGGAAUUAGGGGAUGAAAUGCUGUGGGAAGGCCAUCUACAAAUAUGUAGGACCUACUUCAGCAGUAGAAAGGAGGCUUGCCUUCAAAGCAAGACCAGGGACAGAAAGUCCAUCUUUUGAACUGAGUAAAGGGGCAUUCCUAUAACUGAUCCAGGGAAUGUUAAGACUAGGCUUAGAACCAAAAUGUUAUUUAGUAAACCCUCUCAUUUAGCAAGGAAGGACAACCAUUAAGUCUGCCCUUGAGCAGACUCUCACCUUCUUUAGCAUCUUAUCCUCUCAUCAUAGCACUGUUACCUAAGACUGAGGGCUUCUAAACAGGAUGGCAAAAGUUAACAUCCACAAGAGAGAGAACUUCAAGACAUUCCUUCAGGGUAUCAUAGUACAGAAAUAAUUGAAGGAUAGAGUCUAUUUUUUAUUCUGGACCAGUUAUAUUUCUAGAAAUAUUAUUAUACCAUUCUUCUGCUAAAAAUCUAUAAUUGCCUCUCCAUUGUUUAUAGGAAACCAUUCAAACGUCUUCAUGUGGCUUUCAAGGUCAUUCUGCUUUAUGCUGACUUUUCCAAAUUCAUCUCUAGCUACUCAUUCCCACUCACAUUUUAAACUGUAGCUGUCCUUCCUGUUUAUUUCUGGAAAGGGCCAUUGUUUUAUCUUUGCCAUCAGUUUUCUGUCUUAGUACAUUUCCUAUUGCUUAUAACAGAAUACGUGUGACUGAGUAAUUUACAAAGAAAAAGAUUUAUUUCUUACAGUGAUGGAGGUUGAGAAGUCCAAGGCUGAGUGUACGCAUCUGCAAGUAAUAGGUAAUUAAUGAUUUUUGACAUAUGAUAGUGAGCAUUAAGAUAUAUGUCGAUGGCCCCCUUGAAUUAUAAAGGAUUAAGACAAGGUCACAUAAAAGAUACAAUCAUAAGCCUCUCACUUUGUCUCACUUCUUAUAAGGGUUUGUAACCUGCUUUGACCAUUGGAAUGUGAGUGGAGUUCACCAAUGCUAUGUGGGAGCAGAAGCUUUAAGAGACAUUGUGGUGCUCUGCCAGCCCUUUACCUCUCUUUUUCUUUGCACAAAAAUGAUGUCUCAAUCCUCUCAGCCUGAGUCCUGGAAUAGAGGAUAUGUGGAGCACAGUCCUUGCAAUUCUCAACCACCAUUAUGUACUCUGGAAUAAUACAUAUUACAUAAGCUACUUUGUUUUGCUUAUGAUUGCAUAUUUAGCAGAUAUACUAAAGUGACUGACUAAUUUAUGUUGUUCAGUCAUUUCUCAUCUCUCCUCCCUCCGCCAUUCUUUACGUCCUUUCGGUAGAGCUGACUCCACCCCAGCACUGUGGCUUAUGCUGGAUCGACCAGAGUGUUGCUUUCUUCAUAUGGUCUAUUGAGACAAUAAAACCUCAGCCGAAAUUGUUGGAAGAGACCCAUCACAUCCCUCAUUGCUACCUGGGGACAGAGAGUGGAAUAAAAGUUGGUCCUGCUGCAGCAACUUGCAUCAAUGAAGAGAGAGUCAAACUAAGAAGAGCUGUUAAAUCAAGUAGUAUCUGAAGCCAUUAACCUUCAAUUAUGGGAAAUAAAUAUUUUCUAUUCUUGCAACCUAU
rnacentral:lncRNA from 1 species